AGGAGCCUGCCCUCUUGAGCUCUUGUGGUGACCUGGGAAUCAAUGUGUGAGGUGGUGCUAUGUAGCAGGAACCCCUCUUGCUUUGCAAAUAGUUUUUUGUUUGUUUUCCUUUUUGCCCAAUAGAGCCCUGCUCUACUGACCCUUCAAUGUGCCCGUGUGCCUAAAUAUUCCUGGUCGUGUGAAAAGAACCCAGGUAUUAGCUGAACUAAGGAGCACAAUUCUGCAACAUUUUGGCACCCAAACACGGGGCUUGAGAAAUGAAUGCAAUUGGAGAAACUGGUUGUUUUACCAGGCGUUGAUUGGAAAUGUGUGCUUCCCUUUAAGCAGUCAAGCUCAACUUGCAGAACUGAUGGGAACCCCUUGGGAAAACUGGCCUCAAAUGUUUGUCUACACAGUCCACAUACAGGGUUCUUAACCUGCGGUGAGUAAAGAAUGUCACUUUCCAACAGGCCCAGAUAUCAUAUGCUCUUGGGACCUCAAGAAGAGAGGAGUUUACCCAAUUCAUAGGUGUGUGAGGAUAAAAACCUAGGGCUGGGCUCAGCUUUAAAUGGUCUUAUCUGAGAUUCUUUGUGAAACAGAUUUUCAUGAAAGCCAAUCUAGAGGGCCUACGUAGAAAUAAUUGUUUUUGCUGCACUUUAUGCACAUAAUCAAGCCAAUUAUAAGACUAAAGUCUAUAUUGCAAGCAACACACUCCUAUUAUGAUUUGUUUUUAACAGAAAUGAGGACGAGACAGAGAGAAAUUAUGUUUCAAAACUUAUCAUCAUUAGUUUCUAGACUUAUUAUUUCUUUUUAAGUUUUUACCUACAUUUUAGACUGACCCUGCUUGUGCCUGUGAACCAACCAACAAUCUCUGGCUGCAGCUCAGAAAGGACAAAAGAGAAUGGGUAAUGUAAAAACCUGGAUCAGUAUUUUAGUUCUGAACAAUUAUCCUGCAAAUCCUGCCAGCUGAUGGGAAUAAAUAGGAUGCCCAUGAUCCGGAGGUUUACUUUUUGGGAAAGUAAAACCAAGGGAGCUAACCAAAGUAAAACCCCAUACACCCAAAUCUGAGCAAGCAUAACUAUAGCCACCAGUUAUCUGGGUGUGUCACAAGACACUCUUUUCUUUCCUUUGUUGGAGGAGAACUCAUUUCCACAGCUUCACUUUAGCAUUAUGGCUUAUGUUAAGGAGUCUAUGCAACUUCCAUGCUGAGACACGUUUUUGGUCCCAAAGUUAAUUCCAAGCUUUGUGUCAAAGGCCUAAGAAAACUGGAUCUUAGGGAUCCAGAAGCCAGACAAUAAUGAAAGUCAAAAGGCACAGCACAGGUGAGCAUGACUAAUUCCCGCUGAUUAAGCCAAGCUUCCUGUUUCAUGGAUAAAGGUCAUGCUAGUAUCCAUGGCAUAAAUGAGGUCUAGAGAACUAAAAGGCUACUGCCAGCAGGGGAGAUAGGGAGGACAUAAGACAGGGCAGCUAUUCCCAUCCCCUAGACCCCCUGUUAACAUGGAUGAAAGCCACUUUGACACCCAUGGGUGGCACCCUGUCACAGUUGGUGGGACUCAGCAAUACAGGGACAGAGGAAAGAAAGAGGAACAACUCACUUUCUCUCCCUCACACACCCUGAGUAUUUGCUAGAAAAAGAAAGGAACCAGGCACACAUGCUCCCCUAUUUCUAGAUGAGUAGCCAUUCAUCUUUAGUCUGCACCCUUUUAGAACAUGUCCUGAACCCCUGGGACUCUUCUGAAAAAAAUGCCUUCUUUUUUCCUUUUUCUUCCUCUGUCCUCUAUUCACUGGUAGGUAGGUAAUGGUGUCCCAUACCACAGAACACUUCCCUCAGAUGCAUCCUUCUAACUGGGAGGAGUUAAUUUCUCAAACCGUAGACUAAUUGGCUUAGGAUUAGGUUCAGGGGAAGGGAACACAGAAACAUGACAUGCCAGCAAAAGGGUAAAAGGUUUUUUUUCCCCGUUGGGCUUUUGGCCUCUCUCUCCCUGUGCAAACUGGUAAAAGGCGUCUGGAUUUUCUAGUUGUCCUUACCCACUGCUUGUUUCGUUUUGAUACAUAUUUUCUAAUAACCUGUUUGUCUCUUCUCACUUUUAGGCCAUCAAACUCCAGUCUGCACCUGGAGCCUUGGAUGAUGGCCUUUUUUACUGGGAACCCUGAAAUAGGCCUCUGAGGGAAAUCUGAUUGCCAUUUUCCCAAAACAGCUUCCCUGACAAUAGGAAGCAAUUAAGAUUGGUCUUCAUCCUUAUCUUUAUCCUUAUUCUAAUGGCAGUUAGAGGUACUUCUUUAGAGGGGGGAAUGAGACAGCCAAAUGCCUAGGCAGAUAAAAAGGUGUACCUGGAAAAUUUCCAACCCGUCACACAAGUGUUUACAUCAGAUGCUUUUGUGUAGAUGAGGGAAACUUCCCAGGGCUUGUCUGGGUAUGCCCACAGUGGACUGGAGCCCAAAAUGCACACUGGAGGAAGUGGAUGGAGCCACGUGGAUGUCAUGCCUUAUGCAGGGGAGGAGCCUGCUCUCUUCAGCUCCUGUGGUAAUGUGGGAAUCGAUCUGUGAGCAUAUUUAACUAUCCGGCUAUUUUGGAGAUUGAAAAAAGAAGACCUGAUUUAUCAUGUGCAAUAUCUCACACAUCUGUCAUUUCUAUUCUACCGCAAUUCGGUGAGUUCAGCCUCUUUUUACUUCAUGUUUGAAUAAUCGCAAUAGAUUUUAUACUGUUCUCACUGCUAAACUUGCUCCCCCUAUUACCCUACAGACACUCAUAUUCAUCUUGCAUAAUACCACCAGAUUAUUCUUUGUCCAUCUAUUUUCCUAGAUAUUUGUCCUCCACUUUCCUGUCUUUUUUUCUGCACUUCAUUCUACCCAUCUUAGUGAAUAGACAUCUUUUCAACUCUCUCAGGCUAUAUAUACAUCAAUUUUUCAAAAUCCAAGUAAAACUUCACGUCCUUGAGAGAAUUUUAGAGAGCGUGUAAUACCUACAUUUUUUUUUACCAUUUAUUAGGAAUAUAUCUCAGCCCCAGUUAUGUGAUUAUUACAUAUUAUAGUAUAUUAAUGUUUGCAAACUCCUUGUAAAAUCAUACACACCCCAUACUGCUAUAUUCAUUUCAAUAGCAAAACAGUUUCUUUUCAAUUUUGUAAUAAAUAUAUUAAGAUCCUGUCCUCCUCCAGGCCAAUUUUCUUCCCCUAUAUUUAAAGUGCUCUGAUGGAGGUAACUUAUUAAUAAUUUGAGCCUAAAACAGCUUUUCAAAUAUGCAUUUCAUUUUUGCACACCAAGCUGGUGUGUGCCUGCAGGCGCUAUUUCUAUUAAGUGAACAGCUGGAUAUUGUGUAGUGGAUUGACCAGGUGUUUGAGUGAACUCAUUAGUCACCAUAUAGAAGCAACUUAAAAGAAUGAGUCACAGUGAUAGUCAUCUCACUUUGGGAAAAGGAAAAGAAAUAAAUAAAAAUGUUUCAUAUCUAUCAGACAGCCACAAAGCACAGUCCCUAUCAACAGGAGCAAAUUCAAAUAAAAAUGGCCCCACCAUACAUAUUUUAUUUGAUUUACAUCUAGCACUGAAGAUAUACUUUAUGAAUUUUUCCUUUAUUCUGACAGUCAUAAAAUAAACGGAGGUGAAUCAUAUAACUUUUGAAUAUCUACAUAGCCAGAGAUAAACUCUGCAUAUUAAAUAUCUUCCAAUAUUACAUCUACCAAAAAACAUAGCAGAGGUCAUAUUUAUGUUGCAACUGAGAAAACACUCAAAUUAUUUAAAGAGAAAAUUUAAAUACUUUACUAAAAUUCACAUUAAAUUCUGAAUUUUACAUGGGUUUAUGUGGCUCUACCAUUCAUACUGUUGAACUUCUGAGUUAUUAAUAUUUACAAAUAACCCAUGUUCUUUCAAAUGAUUCCAAUGCUUACAGAAACACAUAUAAAAGUACAUACAAUGAAAUAAAACUGUGGCAAUGUAGAAAAAUGAAAACUAUAAUAUGACAACGCAAUGAAGCCAGAGUUAAUGUGAGCACAUGAAAUGAAAUCCUAACAUUUUCUCUUCAGCUUUGUCUCUGUGUCUUACUAUGCUAAUGUAGGUAAUAAGCAGUAUUGAUAGCUGGAAGAAGUAAAUUAGCACAUGAAAAGAACCUUGAUUAUUAUUUGUGCAAUUCCUGGAGUCCACUGAUACUUACCAACUCUUAAAGCUUAGAUCUAGGGUAUCCAAACACUGCUUCCUUUCCAAGAAGGAAACAUACAAAAAAACUAAGGCAGCAUGCUCUAAUUCUUUUUUUCUUUUUUUUCUUUUUUAGAUGGAGUCUUGUUCUGUGGUCCAGGCUAGAGGGCAGUGGCAUGAUCUCGGCUCACUACAAGCUCUGCCUCCCGGGUUCACGCCAUUCUCCUGCCUCAGCCUCCUGAGUAGCUGGGACUACAGGCGCCCGCCACCACGCCUGGCUAAUUUUUUGUAUAUUUACUAGAGAUGGCUAGUGUUAGCCAAGAUGGUCUCGAUCUCCUGACCUCGUGAUCUGCCCACCUCAGCCUGCCAAAGUGCUGGGAUUACUGGCGUGAGCCACCGUGCCUGGCCAGCAUCCUCUAAUUAUUAUUCAUAGUUUGUGAAUUUAGGCCUACGUGAAUAAUAAUAUAAUAUUUACUAUGAUGUUACUAUCUACCAACCUUAUUUUUCUUUUCUAUAAAAUAGGAGCCAAAAUAAUAUUUAUGUCAUACCUUAUGAAGUUAAAAUAAAAUAUAACGAAUGAGGGGCUUAACAAUGAGUGUCAUUUUGUAAUUACUUUGUACCAUUAUUAAUUGCUGAGACAGAAUAUGGUAUCACUAGUCAUCUGUAUCUAUUGCACAACUUUAUUUUGAUUCAUUCCUUACUAUUUUGCAUAGAUAGGCCUAAAUUUUUGAUCCACUGCUCAACUCCUGUCUUUAAACCAUUGGUUCUCAAAUAGAGUUGAUUUUGACACCUAGGGAACAUUUGACAACAUAUGGAGAUAUUGUUGAUUUUACAGGGCAACCCUUCAUAAGCACAGAAUUAUCUGGCCCCAAAUGUCGACAGUGUCAAGUUCGAGAAACUCUGCACUAGGCUUUUCUGUCUGGUUACUCACCCCUCUUCUUUGCACUGCCCCCAGUUUUAUGGAUAUUGAAUUCCUGAUUUCUCACUAUAUUAAUUGCACUUAUAGAUAUUCUAAAUUGAUUUGUAUAUAUCUUCCUAGUUUGACCCAUUGCUUUUAACUGAAUUUUACUGGGCUUUUAUAAAGGCCAUUUCCAUGGAGUUUAGUCAUUAUCUUCACCAAAUUUUUAUUUGCUUCAGUCUGGGGAGGAACUCUAUAUUAAAAAAUAAAAACAAACCCAAAAACUAAUUUAUGAAAGACAUUUUAUAAUGUAAUUACUUAAACAUUUUUUUUCUUCUUUCUCAUACGAUCUUUUAAAUUCAGUGAGUGACAUGUGGUUUUCAGGCUGGGUCAGGAAGUUUGCUUGGACGGGGAAAUUCUGUCUGCUGAGACACUAGGGGAGCAAAUGCCUAUGUGGGCACAGGCUGGUCACUGACCUCCUAGGGUUCCCUGACAAUAAAUUAGUCCUAGUUGAGGUCGCCAUCAUCAGAACUUAAUUGGUCCCUGGUACUGGUGAAUCUCUGCACCACAGAGACUAAUCAGUUACAGAACUCAGCUUCUGGGCAUAGGCAACCUUUUCUGUUUUUUCAAUUUUUUGUCAGCAAAGUUGAGAAAAUGAACACACUCAAACAGCCCAUUUCUUAGCUUAUCAAUAUCCGUACCCACUUCUUUCCCUCAUCAACAUGUAUUUUCCAUAUUUUGUUGGUAUUAACCUCUGACACUCAUCCACACAAGAAAGUCUACAAAGCCUAAACUAACUUUUAAACAUUAUUUAAGGUAAUAGCUUUGUCUUCCACCAGAAACCUGGCGACAUUUUUAAAAGGAUUUGAAGAGAUAUAUACCCGAGGGACAGAGAGAAAAAUUAGUGCUGACCAGUCUGGGCCUACUUGACUAACACAAAAUAGAUUAAAUUAAUAAAAACAAGAUGUUCUGCAUUUAUAAACAUGUUAACUCUUUUUAAUGUGUAUGACUCAUUAAUGAGUUCAUAAUUAGAUUUUGAAGGAUUUCAUUCUGGACCUUGCAGAUUGUAUGUAUCUUUCUGGUAAAUUAGGAAGUAUAAUUUUUCAAUAAAAAAGCUCACUGGAAACCCCUGUAACAAGUAAUAAAUAUUUAAAAUUUGCAGAAAUGUUUACUUAUUCAAUAAAUACUGACUCCACAUUAAGAAAUGCUAGAGAUAAAGCAUUUCUAAAGGCAAAUUCUACUGUUUCCUGGUUUUACAUUCUAGAUUUUAAGACAAAGAUGGCUGCCUUGAAAUUUUAGUUAUGUGAAAGAAAUUUCGUAAUGAUAUAACUUUUUCUUACUCUGACUCUGUGAGACUUUUGUUUAUAUUUUAUGAAACUAUUUCUAUAGCACAUGUUAUAUAAAUAUAUUUGAGAAAUCAUUUUUAGCUUUCAGAAAUUAGUUUGCUUAAUACAUUUUAAUUUUAAUAAAGCUCCAUUCCUCUAGUCCUUUCAUAUCUGGAAUAUAUUUCCUAUACAAUAUCUUCUAUAUUAUUUAAUACUGCUGUUUUUUAAAAGAGAAAUUGAAACCUUUUACUCAUAUAUACCAGACUUCCAAAACUGUCUUGGUUUGAAAAUCAGUUCUCCAAAAUACUUUCUCUAACUUAACUUUAUAUCUUAGGUGCAAAUACAAUCCUGAUAAAUACUAUAGUCAGGCAUUUUAAAAACUUUAUGUUUCCCAUAUACUCAGCAGAGUAUCAUCUUCUUGCCCUUUCCCUCACUAUGGUAUCCUUCAAGAACUUAUUAGCUCAAAUUCCAAAUCCUCAAUGAAACAAUCAUCUAUCAAUUUCAUAAUUCACUGUUUUAUUCAAUAAAUAUUUAGUGAAUGAUUUCUGUGUGUCAGGAGUGUAUUGGGAGCUUGGGGACAAAGUGGUGGGCUAGAUAGGCAU
rnacentral:lncRNA from 1 species